rnacentral:rRNA from 1 species
GUGGGGAAUAUUGGACAAUGGGCGCAAGCCUGAUCCAGCCAUGCCGCGUGAGUGAUGAAGGCCUUAGGGUUGUAAAGCUCUUUUGUCCGGGAAGAUAAUGACUGUACCGGAAGAAUAAGCCCCGGCUAACUUCGUGCCAGCAGCCGCGGUAAUACGAAGGGGGCUAGCGUUGUUCGGAAUCACUGGGCGUAAAGCGCACGUAGGCGGACCAUUAAGUCAGGGGUGAAAGCCUGGAGCUCAACUCCAGAACUGCCUUUGAUACUGAUGGUCUCGAGUAGGGAAGAGGUUGGUGGAACUGCGAGUGUAGAGGUGAAAUUCGUAGAUAUUCGCAAGAACACCGGUGGCGAAGGCGGCCAACUGGUCCAUUACUGACGCUGAGGUGCGAAAGCGUGGGGAGCAAACAGGAUUAGAAACCCGGGUAGUCC